UAAUGCGCCUUGAAAUGAGGAACUCAAAAGUCAUGUGUAAAGAAAAAAUCUCUGUGUAGUGAUAUUGGACAUGUUUCUAUUUUUAACAAAUGACUGAACUUAAUUAUUUGUGGUGAUUAAGAAAGUAGAGGAACAUAGAAUAAAUGUGUAAAAACUAUGGAGCUAUUGAAUGUGUUCAAAGUAUCAAAUUUUCAAAGAACUUAUUGUGUUAAAAAGGGGAUAUUUUACCACAAGGAGCCGCAUCACAAAAGGAUGUUCGGGGUUUGCUAAUUUACGGAAAAAGUAAUCUCACUUCGUACCCCGAAAAUUUAAUCACAUAUGUGAAAAUGUCACAGCUUCGAAACGAGCUAUCAUACAUGUACAUAUCCAAGUUUACGAUAUGGACUGAGCUACAGGAAAAAACGUUACCAUUAUCGCCUAUGGAAAAACAAUUAAAGAUAUUGAGCCAAUUUACAAAAAGAUAAAUCAGAAGUUUCCAGAGUGAUCUAUGGAUGAUUUCACCUUGUACACCCGGGAAAAUUGUGAAAAUGAUGUUCCAGACAUAUCAUUACUUUUUAACCUGAGAUGACAAACUAGAGGUUUUAAAAGGUCCUGAAUAACUGAAAUGGACAAAAAUACACAGAUUUAUUCAGAAUGUCAUACCGAUGAAGAUCACAUAAAAAUAUUUGGAAAAAUCAGAACUAUGGAUUGCAAUAUGGGACAACAUCCUAAUGCGCCUUGAAAUGAGGAACUCAAAAGUCACGUGUAAAGAAAAAAUCUCUGUGUAGUGAUAUUGGACAUGUUUCUAUUUUUAACAAAUGACUGAACUUAAUUAUUUGUGGUGAUUAAGAAAGUAGAGGAACAUAGAAUAAAUGUGUAAAAACUAUGGAGCUAUUGAAUGUGUUCAAAGUAUUAAAUUUUCAAAGAA